UACGUAGGGGGCUAGCGUUGUCCGGAAUCAUUGGGCGUAAAGCGCGCGUAGGCGGCCCGGUAAGUCCGCUGUGAAAGUCAAAGGCUCAACCUUUGAAUGUCAGCGGAUACUGCCGGGCUAGAGUCCGGAAGAGGCGAGUGGAAAUUCCUGGUGUAGCGGUGGAAUGCGCAGAUAUCAGGAGGAACACCAACGGCGAAGGCAGCUCGCUGGGACGGUACUGACGCUGAGGAGCGAAAGCGUGGGGAGCGAACAGG
rnacentral:rRNA from 1 species